UCCCUGGUGGCUGAGUUGGUAAAGAUCUGCCUGCAAUGCAGGUGACCUAGGUUCCAACCCUGGGUUGGGAA
rnacentral:tRNA from 1 species